GCUCUAGACAUUUAUACCUCUGGUCUACAUUAAGGGAUGUUAGAGAACACACACUCCUGACCACCAAACCCUCCUGCGUCACUAGGGUACCUUGUUCAGCAGGAUCCGCUACUGGCCUGCUGGCAGCUCAAGCCUUCCUUCCAGCUGCGACCUUCUUAGGCAGCUUCAAUGUUCUCCUCAUCUGUCAAAGACCUCCUACAAGAAAACAAGACCUCUCUAGUAUUCCCCGGUAAACAGAGCUCAAUGGCAAACACCCUAAAAUAUUCGUAUGGAACUUAUAAAAUGACCAUGGUGUAACUGAAAUAAACAGACAGGACCCUCCAAAGGAAAUCCUACUCCUUCACCUCUUCGUGGUGAGGUCGCUGUGGGGUUCGGGCACAGGCACGAACUUGGACACCUGAGCUCAUCACCAGCCUCUGUCUAUUGUGAGCUCACAGUCUUUGGAAGCUCACAAUACAAAAAUUAGCUGGGUGCCCACCUGUAAUCCCAGCUACUUGGGAGGCUGAGGCAGGAGAAUUCCUUGAACCCAGGAGGCAGAGGUUGCAGUGAGCUGAGACUGCACCAAGCCUGGGUGACAAGAGCAAAAGUCUAUCUCAAAAAAAGAUCGACUUCUCUCUCUCUCAGAACAUGGAUGAAUCUGGAGAUCAUCAUUCUCAGCAAAUUGACACAAGAACAGAAAAUGAAACACUGCAUAUUCUCAUUCAUAGGUAAUUCAGCUGUUCUCCUUGCUCCAGUGUGGUCCACAAACCUUUAUUGACUGUCAUCCAAAAGCUUUAUGAACCAGGAAGAAAGUCUAUAGCUCAAGAACCAUCUCAUUUAUAAGAAACAUAAAGUGGGGAUUUUCUCCUGUCCUGAAAUAUCCAAAUAAUCCAUCUUAAAAAAAUGAAAUAAUAAAUCUCUCAUUUGAGCUC
rnacentral:lncRNA from 1 species